AACAAGCAGAGCAUUGUUUCAGCGAUGAAAAGAAAAACAUCCUCUGAUUUUCCAAGUUUGUUCUGAACCAAAUUUUUGGUUGAAAUAGAAAGAUGUAUUUUUUUUCCUUUUCUUGCCACCCUUCUUUAUUUUUUAACCCAUUUUUUAAUGAAGCUAUCUAAGUGGAUGUUGAAACAGUGAAUGUUAAGAAAGAGUACAUUUCCUAUGUAAACAAACACAACCCGGCUUAGAGAGAGAGGAAAGCAGUCUUGUCAACCCGAAAGGAACCCAGCACAUGGUAAUUUUUGUAAUUGAAGUAUCCCAGGGAUUCCAGGGUACAUGAACAAUCCAUAAAACAGGAAUGAGACCACACAAAAACACAACCAUGGCUCCAGGCGGGCACUGUUGAAAAGAAGCAGACUUUUAGCAGUAGGAAGCAGGGAGCUUGCAUCAGAGGAUCUUUGUAAAUGCCCCUCUAAAAUUAAAGUCCUCUCUAAGCUCCUUCCAGGUCUUUUACAUGCAUCGUUGGAUUGCAGUCUCAAGCCUGGGAUUCCAACGGAAUUAACGUCCAUUGAAAACUUACUGUGCUCAAGGCACAGAACGGGGUAGUUUUAUACACAUUCUCCCAUUUGGAUUUUUCAAAGACAACAUCUAAUCAUCCCCAGAGAAAUUUCAGCUGAGAAGACAGGAUGGUGAGACAGUUCCUAAGUCUUUCCUAGACACAAUUGUCUUUGCAAGUCCUCUGCCACAGUCAAAGAUGAAGUGCCCUGGGGGCCAGAGUCCAGACAAGUAUUUUGGCACCUCCAAGGACUCGCAGAACACAGAGAGGAAAAGAGAGACCCUGUUAUCUUUCCGCAGGGGUGGCCGUUCAAACUCUCAGAGAUGGAAGUUAAGAUUUCCUUUGGUAUAAGUGGCAGUUUGACUGGCUGCAAGGAGAGCCUCAGUUUGUUUAAUUUGGAGUAAAAUUUUAUGAGUUAAUCUCUAGUGAGGGAAAGCAGCAGUAAACACAGAACAUACUGGUCA
rnacentral:lncRNA from 1 species